CGGCGUGCCUAACACAUGCAAGUCGUACGAGAAAGCCGGCUUCGGCUGGUGAGUAAAGUGGCGCACGGGUGAGUAACGCGUGGAUAAUCUGCCCUUAAGUGUGGAAUAACGUACCGAAAGGUGCGCUAAUACCGCAUAAUGCCUGGCAACACAAGUUGUCCGGCCAAAGAAGGCCUCUGUUUACAAGCUUUCGCUUCAGGAUGAGUCCGCGUACCAUUAGCUUGUUGGUGGGGUAAUGGCCUACCAAGGCUGCGAUGGUUAGCUGGUCUGAGAGGAUGAUCAGCCACACUGGAACUGAGACACGGUCCAGACUCCUACGGGAGGCAGCAGUGAGGAAUAUUGCGCAAUGGGGGCAACCCUGACGCAGCAACGCCGCGUGAGUGAGGUAAGGUUUUCGGACUGUAAAGCUCUGUCGAGCGGGAAGAAGUGUACCAUGGCUAAUAUCCAUGAUAUUUGACGGUACCGCUAGAGGAAGCACCGGCUAACUCCGUG
rnacentral:rRNA from 1 species